rnacentral:rRNA from 1 species
GGCCUAACAUAUGCAAGUCGAGGGGCAUCGGGAUUGAAGCUUGUUUCAAUUGCCGGCGACCGGCGCACGGGUGCGUAACGCGUAUGUAACCUACCUAUAACAGGGGCAUAACACUGAGAAAUUGGUACUAAUUCCCCAUAAUAUUCGGAGAGGCAUCUCUCCGGGUUGAAAACUCCGGUGGUUAUAGAUGGACAUGCGUUGUAUUAGCUAGUUGGUGAGGUAACGGCUCACCAAGGCAACGAUACAUAGGGGGACUGAGAGGUUAACCCCCCACACUGGUACUGAGACACGGACCAGACUCCUACGGGAGGCAGCAGUGAGGAAUAUUGGUCAAUGGACGCAAGUCUGAACCAGCCAUGCCGCGUGCAGGAAGACGGCUCUAUGAGUUGUAAACUGCUUUUGUACGAGGGUAAACUCACCUACGUGUAGGUGACUGAAAGUAUCGUACGAAUAAGGAUCGGCUAACUCCGUGCCAGCAGCCGCGGUAAUACGGAGGAUUCAAGCGUUAUCCGGAUUUAUUGGGUUUAAAGGGUGCGUAGGCGGUUUGAUAAGUUAGAGGUGAAAUCCCGGGGCUUAACUCCGGAACUGCCUCUAAUACUGUUAGACUAGAGAGUAGUUGCGGUAGGCGGAAUGUAUGGUGUAGCGGUGAAAUGCUUAGAGAUCAUACAGAACACCGAUUGCGAAGGCAGCUUACCAAACU